UACGGAGGGGGCAAGCGUUGUUCGGAAUUACUGGGCGUAAAGAGCUCGUAGGCGGCCAACUAAGUCGGAUGUGAAAUCCCCAGGCUCAACUUGGGAACUGCAUCCGAUACUGGAUGGCUUGAAUUCGGGAGAGGGAUGCAGAAUUCCAGGUGUAGCGGUGAAAUGCGUAGAUAUCUGGAGGAAUACCGGUGGCGAAGGCGGCAUCCUGGACCGACAUUGACGCUGAGGAGCGAAAGCUAGGGGAGCAAACGGG
rnacentral:rRNA from 1 species